GAUGAACGCUAGCGGCAGGCCUAACACAUGCAAGUCGAGGGGCAGCAAUAAGAUACUUUCGGGUAUUUUAGAUGGCGACCGGCGGACGGGUGCGUAACGCGUAUGCAACCUACCUAUAACAGGGGGAUAGUCGAGAGAAAUUUUGUCUAAUACCCCGUAACACUGAUAGAGGCAUCUUUAACAGUUGAAAGAUUUAUUGGUUAUAGCUGGGCAUGCGUGACAUUAGCUAGAUGGUACGGUAACGGCGUACCAUGGCGACGAUGUCUAGGGGAACUGAGAGGUUAAUCCCCCACACUGGUACUGAGACACGGACCAGACUCCUACGGGAGGCAGCAGUGAGGAAUAUUGGUCAAUGGGCGGAAGCCUGAACCAGCCAUGCCGCGUGCAGGACGACGGCUCUAUGAGUUGUAAACUGCUUUUGUGAUGGAAUAAAAAAAGAUACGUGUAUCUUCUUGCAUGUACAUUACGAAUAAGGAUCGGCUAACUCCGUGCCAGCAGCCGCGGUAAUACGGAGGAUUCGAGCGUUAUCCGGAUUUAUUGGGUUUAAAGGGUGCGUAGGUUGUAAUUUAAGUUAGUGGUUAAAUAUAGUGGCUUAACCAUUUACUCGCCAUUAAUACUGAAUUACUAGAGUAUAGAUGCAGCAGGCGGAAUGUGUAGUGUAGCGGUGAAAUGCAUAGAUAUUACACAGAACACCGAUUGCGAAGGCAGCUUGCUAAACUAUAACUGACACUGAUGCACGAAAGCGUGGGUAGCGAACGGGAUUAGAUACCCCGGUAGUCCACGCAGUAAACGAUGAUAACUCGUUGUAGGCGAUAUACCGUCUGUGACCAAGCGAAAGCGAUAAGUUAUCCACCUGGGGAGUACGACCGCAAGGUUGAAACUCAAAGGAAUUGACGGGGGCCCGCACAAGCGGAGGAACAUGUGGUUUAAUUCGAUGAUACGCGAGGAACCUUACCCGGGCUUGAAAGUUAGUGACGGACUAAGAGAUUGGUCUUCCCUUCGGGGCACGAAACUAGGUGCUGCAUGGUUGUCGUCAGCUCGUGCCGUGAGGUGUCGGGUUAAGUCCCAUAACGAGCGCAACCCCUAUUGAUAGUUACCAGCAUGUAGUGGUGGGGACUCUAUCAAGACUGCCGGUGUAAGCCGAGAGGAGGGUGGGGAUGACGUCAAAUCAGCACGGCCCUUACGUCCGGGGCGACACACGUGUUACAAUGGUCGGUACAGAGGGCAGCUACACAGUGAUGUGAUGCGAAUCUCUAAAGCCGAUCUCAGUUCGGAUUGGAGGCUGGAACUCGCCUCCAUGAAGUUGGAUUCGCUAGUAAUCGCAUAUCAGCCAUGAUGCGGUGAAUACGUUCCCGGGCCUUGUACACACCGCCCGUCAAGCCAUGGAAGUUGGGGGUGCCUGAAGUCCGUUACCGCGAGGAACGGCCUAGGGCAAAAUCAGUAACUAGGGC
rnacentral:rRNA from 1 species